UACAGAGGUCUCGAGCGUUAGGCGGAAUCACUGGGCUUAAAGCGUGUGUAGGCGGAUCGGUAAAGUACCUUGUGAAAUCCCACAGCUUAACUGUGGAACUGCUUGGUAUACUGCCAGUCUUGAGCCAGCUAGGGGCUACCGGAACAAAUGGUGGAGCGGUGAAAUGCGUAGAUAUCAUUGGAACGCCAAUGGGUGAAAACAGGUAGCUGGGGCUGUGGCUGACGCUGGAGGCGCGAAAGCUAGGGGAGCGAACGGG
rnacentral:rRNA from 1 species